UCGGUGGACAGACGGAGAGUGGACAAUUUUGGGUCGAAGUUGGUUGACCCAGGUCCACAAUCCGGACUGCAGCUGGCCGAACAGCAAGUGGCGAGAACAGCCCUCUUCGCGCGCCUGAAAACUUCUGUCAACUCCGGUCUCCGGUCAACUCCGGUUACAGAUGGAAGGAUUCGAGGAAAACUUCUGGAAGAAGGCGGAAGCACAAUUGAAGUGCCCCGUGCCCGCGCAUCUGAAGAGAGUGCUGCAAAGAACGGGGUACUUGAACUGUGCCUUGGAGGAUCUAAGUGAAGGCCAGAUACGGUCCAUCGAGGAAGACAUCAGAAGCCUCCCAGAACUUACGAACCUUC